ensembl:lncRNA
UUUUUUUUUUUUUUUUUUUUUUUGGCCACACCCAUGACAUGUGGAAAUUCCCAGGCCAGGGACCAAACCCUCCCCACAAGCAGCAAUCCCAGCCACCGCAGUGACAGUGCCAGAUCCUUAACCUGCGGCGCCACAAGAGAACUCCAGCCAUGACUUUUUUUUAAUACACUUUCCAGAUGCUGAGUUGGUCCUGAGUUGAAGUGGUUUCACAGGUGAGAAAUCCCGAAAUAAAUAGAAUGUACCUGGGACAGAAACACUGGCUUGGGAGGUGCUUUCACCACACAGACUUAGACUGACCGGGUUCUCCCGGUGACAGCUCUGUGCUACGGCAAAGUCCCGUACUACCAUUAAAAUCUCACCUCCCCUACCACAGCUCAUGAAGGCAAAUGAUUAAUGUAGAUAUGUCCUUUACACUUUUGAAAACUCUUUCCCUAAAAGGAGAAUACUGAGGAAUCUGAAAACAGCCCUGGACUGUGUUCAAAAACUCAAGCCAAGAAAGAACCUUCAGAUUUGACAUCUUAAAUUAGCAAGAAUGUUUAGACACAUCUAUAAUCUAGGAAAACAUACAUACACCCACACUCACUCCAAAAAAGUGUGCCUUUCCACCCUCUCAUGCCAACUGGAUAAUUAGUAAUGAAUUCUGUUUACUGUGACCAUAUGAUGAUUUUUUUUCAUCCAAGAAUUUUAAAACAAGUGCCUACUAUGUGUCAGACACUGUGCUGGGCACAGAUGCCAAAGGGUGAACAUGGAGUUUCCAGGUUCACAGAAGAGACCAAACAUAAGAGGGAAAGGCACCCAUUCGUAUCUCACGACUAAUCUGUGAGUGCGAUGAGGAACAGGAUGCCCUGAGAGAGGCAAUCAGGGUGGGAGGGAAGACACGCUUGAGAUGGUGGGGCUCAGAUGGCUGGGGGGGCUUUCUGUGUCUAGCUUACUUACAUUUUUUACAUCCACUGCUUAUUGGUCUUCUUAUGAGCAGGACACUAGGUCCAGCAUUCGCUGCAUCAUUCAUAUAAUUCUAACCACUGUCUGUGAUGCAUAUCAUGAUCCCCUUUUACUGAAGAGGGAAUGAGGGGGAGCUGGCUAGUAAGUGGCAGGGCAAGGGCUCUGUGUGGUGUUGGCAAAGUGUGUCAACCCCACUGGUCCUCAAAGCUCACAGUCUCUGCCUUCCUCGCUUAAGGAAGCAAGAGAAGGCCAGUGAUGCUAGGAGUGGAGUGUGUGAGAGGGUGGAAGGAGGUGAGAAGCAAGGCAUGGAAGGGGCGAGACCAGACACGCCCUGGGGGGCCAUGGGAGGGCACUUUAAGGGUGCUAAGCAGGGCAGUGAGAUGAAUCAAUUUGUGUAUUUGGAAAGAGUCUGGAGGAAACCACAAUGAGACACCACUUCACACCCACCAGGAUGCCAACACUGGAAAAUAACAAGUGUUGGCGAGGAUGUAGAGAAAUUGGAACUCUUGUGCUUUGCCAGUGGAAUGUAAAUUGGUGCAGUCACUGUGGAAAACAGUCUGGUGGUAGCUCAAAAUGUUAAACAUAGACUUACCAUAUGACCCAGCAAUUACAUUCCUAGAUAUACGCUCAAAAAAAUUGAAAUCAAGUACUUAAAUAUUUGUGCAUGAAUGUUCACAAUAGCACCAGUCAUAAUCAUCAAAAGGUGAAAAUUACCCAAAUGCCCAUCAGUUGAUGAAUGGAUAAACACAAUAUUGUAUAUACCGACGAUGGAGUAUUACUUAGCUAUAAAGGGGGAUGAAAUACUCAUACAUGUCACAACAUCGAUGAAUCUCAAAAACAUUAUACUGGGUGAAAGAAGCCAGUCACGAAAGGCCACAUAUUGCAUGACAAUACUUCUACGAAAUAUCCACUACCAGCAGAUGCGCAGAGACAGAAAGCGGACUGGUGGUUACCAGGGACUGGGAGGAGGAGGGAACAGGGAGUGACAACAGGUACGGGAGUCUCCUUCGGGAUGACGAAAAUGUUUGGAGUAAAUAAAAGUUAUAGUUGUACAACAUUGGGAAUGUACUAAAUUGUACACUUUAAAAUGGUUAAUUUUAUGUUACAUAAACCUUACUCCAAAUUUUAAAGCUGGGUUGGAGAGGGUAAGUGGAUGUGAAAGACCCUUUCACAGUAGUCCAGCUGAGAGAUGGCUGCCAGGAUGGUGGCACUGGAGACAAAGGAAAAGGGACAGACCCAUGAGAUAUUUCUGGAGGCAGACCCAACAAGUCCUGAUAAUAUACAUCUUAAUAUCUACGCAGGUGGCAUGUAACACGAGAGGUGAUGAGGAAGAUGAGACGUGCAGCUAAUCAGACAGCUACUCCAAGGGCUCAAACCUGAAGCUAGGAGAGUGGGGUGGUAAGAAGAAUAAUGGCCUCCAAAGACAUCCACGG